GUGGGGAAUAUUGCACAAUGGGGGAAACCCUGAUGCAGCGACGCCGCGUGGAGGAAGAAGGUCUUCGGAUUGUAAACUCCUGUUGUUGAGGAAGAUAAUGACGGUACUCAACAAGGAAGUGACGGCUAACUACGUGCCAGCAGCCGCGGUAAAACGUAGGUCACAAGCGUUGUCCGGAAUUACUGGGUGUAAAGGGAGCGCAGGCGGGAAGACAAGUUGGAAGUGAAAUCCAUGGGCUCAACCCAUGAACUGCUUUCAAAACUGUUUUUCUUGGGUAGUGCAGAGGUAGGCGGAAUUCCCGGUGUAGCGGUGGAAUGCGUAGAUAUCGGGAGGAACACCAGUGGCGAAGGCGGCCUACUGGGCACCAACUAACGCUGAGGCUCGAAAGUGUGGGUAGCAAACAGGAUUAGAAACCCCUGUAGUCC
rnacentral:rRNA from 1 species